rnacentral:rRNA from 1 species
UGCGUAGGUGGCGCGCUAAGUCAGGUGUGAAAUUUCGGAGCUUAACUCCGAAACUGCAUUUGAUACUGGCGUGCUUGAGGACUGGAGAGGAGACUGGAAUUCACGGUGUAGCAGUGAAAUGCGUAGAGAUCGUGAGGAAGACCAGUGGCGAAGGCGGGUCUCUGGACAGUUCCUGACACUGAGGCACGAAGGCCAGGGGAGCAAACG